rnacentral:rRNA from 1 species
UGCAGUCGAGCGGACAGAUGGGAGCUUGCUCCCUGAUGUUAGCGGCGGACGGGUGAGUAACACGUGGGUAACCUGCCUGUAAGACUGGGAUAACUCCGGGAAACCGGGGCUAAUACCGGAUGCUUGUUUGAACCGCAUGGUUCAAACAUAAAAGGUGGCUUCGGCUACCACUUACAGAUGGACCCGCGGCGCAUUAGCUAGUUGGUGAGGUAAUGGCUCACCAAGGCAACGAUGCGUAGCCGACCUGAGAGGGUGAUCGGCCACACUGGGACUGAGACACGGCCCAGACUCCUACGGGAGGCAGCAGUAGGGAAUCUUCCGCAAUGGACGAAAGUCUGACGGAGCAACGCCGCGUGAGUGAUGAAGGUUUUCGGAUCGUAAAGCUCUGUUGUUAGGGAAGAACAAGUACCGUUCGAAUAGGGCGGUACCUUGACGGUACCUAACCAGAAAGCCACGGCUAACUACGUGCCAGCAGCCGCGGUAAUACGUAGGUGGCAAGCGUUGUCCGGAAUUAUUGGGCGUAAAGGGCUCGCAGGCGGUUUCUUAAGUCUGAUGUGAAAGCCCCCGGCUCAACCGGGGAGGGUCAUUGGAAACUGGGGAACUUGAGUGCAGAAGAGGAGAGUGGAAUUCCACGUGUAGCGGUGAAAUGCGUAGAGAUGUGGAGGAACACCAGUGGCGAAGGCGACUCUCUGGUCUGUAACUGACGCUGAGGAGCGAAAGCGUGGGGAGCGAACAGGAUUAGAUACCCUGGUAGUCCACGCCGUAAACGAUGAGUGCUAAGUGUUAGGGGGUUUCCGCCCCUUAGUGCUGCAGCUAACGCAUUAAGCACUCCGCCUGGGGAGUACGGU